rnacentral:lncRNA from 1 species
CGUUGCUGCCCGUCGUUGCUGCCUGCUGGUCCGGCCGUUAGGUGCUGGUGCUGGCCCGAGCUCGCCCAUGAAGCGCCUUCCUGUAAGGGGUUAGGGUGGACGUGAGGGGAGUCCGAGGUGUGCGAGGAUGGCCCGAGUUUCGGACCAAGAGGAGGGACCUGGAGGGGGGCACAGCGAGUUCAGUGACAUCAUUAAGUCCAGAUCAGCUUUCAGGAAGGAAUGCUGUGGGAUGACUGCAUUACGGUGGUGAAAACAGUGCUGUCAUCACUGUGCUUGAAGAACAGAUGAAUCUGCUAUGAUUAAUUAUGGAAAAAAAGAAAACUCACUUGAAAUCUGUCAUAGUAGUUUGGAAUGGUAAUAUAUAAUUAAACAGUAAGACAUGACAGGAAAAACAUUUCUUGAAGAUUACUGUAUGCCUCUGGUGCAUUUUUGGAUAUGAGUUCCUGUCUAAAUUGAGGGGGACUUAGUUCUCCUGAUCUACCUUUGAUUUUUAAUUACAUUAAAUAUGUUUGGCUGAGAGACUGUUUUAAGAAAUUGUAACUUAUUUUGGGAAUUCUUAGGCAAGACUUGUUUGAGAAAUGCUGCUGUUGGCUCUCCCCAUGAAGCAAUAUUUAACUGGUCAGCAGCUACCUUGCUCUGGGAUCUCCCUGCCCUGAGGCAUAUGUUGCAUUUGCAACCAGUUCCUUCAGUAAUGUGUCUUGCUGUCAAAGAGCUAUGGCCCAAAUAUAUUAUUUCUCAUUUGUCAUUGUGACUCCAUCAGUGUGAAAUGGCCAGAAAUAGUUACAGUUGCAGGCAGACCCUUAGGAUUUGUCAAAUGGACGCAGAAUUGGCAUAGCCAGUUUUGCACCAUGUGAACCCUUCAGGGGUAUUUGUGCAGAGUAUGCAUGGACAAGGUGUUAAAGACAAGUGACUAAUUUUCUGCUCCUUGUUCCUAGCCACUAAAAUGACUGUUUUCAAAAAUAAACCUUUGGAUUGCUUUAGUUUGGCUCCUUUC